GAUGAAGAACGUAGCGAAAUGCGAUAAGUAAUGCGAAUUGCAGAAUCCGUGAGUCAUCGAAUCUUUGAACGCACAUUGCGCCCUCUGGUAUUCCGGAGGGCAUGCCUGUUCGAGCGUCAUUUCAACCCUCAAGCCCCCGGGCUUGGUGUUGGGGAUCGGCGAGCCUCCGCGCCCGCCGUCCCCUAAAUCUAGUGGCGGUCUCGCUGUAGCUUCCUCUGCGUAGUAGCACACCUCGCACUGGGAAACAGCGCGGCCACGCCGUUAAACCCCCAACUUCUGAACGUUUGACCUCGGAUCAGGUAGGAAUACCCGCUGAACUUAAGCAUAUCAAUAAGCGGAGGA
rnacentral:misc_RNA from 1 species